UACGAAGGGGGCGAGCGUUGUUCGGAAUUACUGGGCGUAAAGGGCGCGUAGGCGGCGCACCAAGUCAGGCGUGAAAGCCCUGGGCUUAACCCAGGAAUUGCGUUUGAGACUGGCGUGCUGGAGUGCAGGAGAGGUCGGCGGAAUUCCCAGUGUAGAGGUGAAAUUCGUAGAGAUUGGGAAGAACACCGGUGGCGUAGGCGGCCGACUGGACUGUAACUGACGCUGAGGCGCGAAAGCGUGGGGAGCAAACAGGAUUAGAAACCCCCGUAGUCC
rnacentral:rRNA from 1 species